UAACCGACUGGGUGACGUGGACGAGGAGAGGAAACAGGAAUGUCAAGUCAACAUUCUGCUCAGGCCUUCCCAGGAGGAACUUUGUCAAGAAAGUGAUUGACAGUAGUCCAGCCAGAAAUUGAGAAAUAACCAAUUAAUAAUGGAUUGUUUUCAGAUUUGCACCAACGCCUUUGAACCUUCUAAAGCUCUGUUCUGAACCGACCUGAACAGGGCACAGCACACGUCCUCAGCACACACCUGCUGACCUCCUGGGCCUUCCCGUGCAGCCUCACCCCGGCUUAGUGUCUCCUGGAAGCCCGUCACCCACCAGUCCUGUGGGCAGAGCACGGACAGCCCCCAGGACCUGGAACGAGCACAAGGCAGCAGGCCCUGCCUUCACUAUGCUGCGCCUCUCGAGGGGUUCACCCCAAAGACUGGACACACGUGAGGGUGACACCACAGUCCCCAGGAGAGCUGUGACCCAUGUGCAAGUUUCACCUCUAAGCCCGUGGCCCAGGGUUCAGUGCACGGCGAUUGUGUCCACCGUGGAGGUGGUGUCCAGAGCACGGCUGCAUUCCUCCCACAUCCCUCCCUGUGGGGCUCCGGCCUGGGUUGCCCCGGUCUGUGGCCAUAAGUCCUCUCCUUCGGACAACCCCAGGAUGUCCUCGAGGACUCAGGCACAGAAAAGGAAGCGGAUCGCGAUGCGGGGAGAAGAAGGGAUGAAGACGCUGUGCUGUGUACUUCUACCACCUCCCACGAGGGGUGUGACAUCGUGCGCUGUGAACAUGAACCAAUAAAGAAAAUGUGGACAAAAGAGCUGGGCUGUCCCCAGGGGCACGGUGGCUCCAGUCAGCACGGUCAGCGGCUGCGGGAACAGAGGGGGCACUGGAUUCACAAGGGACGGUCGCACUGCCCCAGGAUGACUGGGGGUCUUGGGACCUCAGGGGCCUCCUGGGAGGUGGACAGGCGUCCUGCCCUGUCCUGGGGGGAUAUUUCCCGGGAGGGUCCUGAUGGCU
rnacentral:lncRNA from 1 species